rnacentral:tRNA from 1 species
GCCUCGAUAGCGCAGUAGGUAGCGCGCGAGUCUCAUAAUCUCGAGGUCGUGAGUUCGAUCCUCACUCGGGGCA